rnacentral:rRNA from 1 species
UACGGGGGGGGCAAGCGUUGUUCGGAAUUACUGGACGUAAAGGGCUCGUAGGCGGCCAACUAAGUCAGACGUGAAAUCCCUCGGCUUAACCGGGGAACUGCAUCUGAUACUGGAUGGCUUGAGUUCGGGAGAGGGAUGCGGAAUUCCAGGUGUAGCGGUGAAAUGCGUAGAUAUCUGGAAGAACACCUGUGGCGUAAGCGGUUCUCUAGUUUAUUUCUGACGCUGAGGCACGAGAGUGUGGGGAGCAAACAGG